rnacentral:rRNA from 1 species
UACGUAGGGGGCUAGCGUUGUCCGGAAUCAUUGGGCGUAAAGAGCGCGUAGGCGGCCAGAUAAGUCCGGUGUGAAAGUCAAAGGCUCAACCUUUGAAUGCCGCUGGAAACUGUCUGGCUAGAGUCCGGGAGGGGCGAGUGGAAUUCCUGGUGUAGCGGUGAAAUGCGCAGAUAUCAGGAGGAGCACCAAUGGCGAAGGCAGCUCGCUGGAACGGUACUGACGCUGAGGCGCGAAAGCGUGGGGAGCGAACAGG